rnacentral:rRNA from 1 species
AUGGGGCAAGAGCACACGACGCGCCCAUCCAAUCGUGAAGCGGCCGUCCGUCUCUCUCGGCACUUUGUGCAAAGGGCAACUCGUCCAUGGAUACAACCGAGCACCCGUUCGUCUGAGCCGUCUCAAAACAAAUGUAAAAAAGUUGCAACCUUUCAAUCAACGAUGGAACAAGAUGCACACGAUGAAGUGAAGUAUCGCCAGAUAUUGUGGCUUGGAAUUAAAAGAAGAUGGAUCUCCAAACAAUCUUCUUCUGGCUAUCAAUCUAGGCUCCAUGCGGCAGACAGGACGCCAUUGAACGGCGCCUGCUGUUGA